rnacentral:lncRNA from 1 species
UUUAAGCAUUCAUUUAUUAAAAUAUAUUUUAAUUUAUUACAUAUAUUAUAAUAAAAAUCUUUAUAUAUUUCAGUUUAUUGUUAAAAUAUUUAUCAGGUUAUUUUCGAAUCAGUUACAGUCCAAAUUAAAUCGAAAAGGAAAUGGGGAAAAGAUAAGCUUAGAAAAUCUAGUAAAUAUAUGGAGUGUUUUACGAGAUAUCGGCGACGUGGAAGAAAAUGUUGACGGCAAUGCAGAAAUAUAGUUUCUUAUGUAUAUUUUUGUAAAAUAAAAAUUAAGUAAUGUUA